rnacentral:rRNA from 1 species
UACGAAGGGAGCUAGCGUUGUUCGGAAUCACUGGGCGUAAAGCGCACGUAGGCGGAUGUGUCAGUCAGGGUGAAAUCCCGGAGCUCAACUUCGGAACUGCCUCUGAUACAGCACGUCUUGAGUCCGAUAGAGGUGGGUGGAAAUUCCUAGUGUAGAGGUGAAAUGCGUAGAUAUUGGGAGGAACACCAGUGGCGAAGGCGCUACCUGGACCGGUUCUGACGCUGAGGCGCGAAAGCGUGGGUAGCAAACAGGA